rnacentral:rRNA from 1 species
GAUGAACGCUGGCGGCGUGCCUAAUACAUGCCAGUCGAGCGAACAGACGAGGAGCUUGCUCCUCUGACGUUAGCGGCGGACGGGUGAGUAACACGUGGAUAACCUACCUAUAAGACUGGGAUAACUUCGGGAAACCGGAGCUAAUCCCGGAUAAUAUAUGAAACCGCAUGGUUCAAUAGUGAAAGAGGGUUUUGCUGUCCCUUAUAGAUGGAUCCGCGCCGCAUUAGCUAGUUGGUAAGGUAACGGCUUACCAAGGCAACGAUGCGUAGCCGACCUGAGAGGGUGAUCGGCCACACUGGAACUGAGACACGGUCAGACUCCUACGGGAGGCAGCAGUAGGGAAUCUUCCGCAAUGGGCGAAAGCCUGACGGAGCAACGCCGCGUGAGUGAUGAAGGUCUUCGGAUCGUAAAACUCUGUUAUUAGGGAAGAACAAAUGUGUAAGUAACUAUGCACGUCUUGACGGUACCUAAUCAGAAAGCCACGGCUAACUACGUG